rnacentral:rRNA from 1 species
UGGGGAAUAUUGCACAAUGGGCGCAAGCCUGAUGCAGCCAUGCCGCGUGUGUGAAGAAGGCCUUCGGGUUGUAAAGCACUUUCAGCGAGGAGGAAGGUGGUGGACUUAAUACGUUCAUCAAUUGACGUUACUCGCAGAAGAAGCACCGGCUAACUCCGUGCCAGCAGCCGCGGUAAUACGGAGGGUGCAAGCGUUAAUCAGAAUUACUGGGCGUAAAGCGCACGCAGGCGGUUUGUUAAGUCAGAUGUGAAAUCCCCGGGCUCAACCUGGGAACUGCAUUUGAAACUGGCAAGCUAGAGUCUCGUAGAGGGGGGUAGAAUUCCAGGUGUAGCGGUGAAAUGCGUAGAGAUCUGGAGGAAUACCGGUGGCGAAGGCGGCCCCCCUGGANGAAGACUGACGCUCAGGUGCG